UCUGCGGAAGGAUCAUUAC
rnacentral:rRNA from 1 species